rfam:Hordeum vulgare subsp. vulgare, WGS project CAJW01000000 data, contig: morex_contig_56098
GAAAUACUCCCUCCGUGUGGAAAUACUUGUCAAAAAAAUAAAUAAAAAUUGUAUCUAGAACUAAAAUAUGUCUAAAUACAUCCAUUUUUACAACAAAUAUUUCCGGACGGAGGGAGUAUAAG